rnacentral:rRNA from 1 species
AUUGAACGCUGGCGGCAGGCCUAACACAUGCAAGUCGAACGGGUGGCGGACGGGUGAGUAAGGUCUGGGAAACUGCCUGAUGGAGGGGGAUAACUACUGGAACCGGUGGCUACUACCGCAUACCAUCAGAUGGGCCGAGAUGGGAUUAGCUUGUUGGUGGGGUAACGGCUCACCAAGGCGACGAUCCCUAGCUGGUCUGAGAGGAUGACCGGCCACACUGGGACGGAGACACGGUCCAGACUCCUACGGGAGGCAGCAGUAGGGAAUAUUGGACAAUGGGCGAAAGCCUGAUGGAGCAAUGCCGCGUGUAUGAAGAAGGCCUUCGGGUUGUAAAGUACUUUCAUCGGGGAAGCGUUACCCGAAGAAGAAGCACCGGCUAACUCCGUGCCAGCAGCCGCGGUAAUAC